CAAUUCAUCUCAUUAUUUUUAUUUUAUUAUUGUUAUUAUUAUUAUGUUUGCUUUAAAGUAGUAUUUGUGCUAGUUGACAUUUCUCUAAAUAGUGCUUCCUGUAGUUGGCAUUCAGAUAAAAUCAACCAUCGAAAGGUACAAGAAGGCACGUGCUGACAGUUCCCAGUCAAAUUUAGUUAAAGAGGUCAAUUCUAAGCAAUAUAUCGGCAAGAAGCCGCAAGAUUUUGUCAUCAGAUACAGAUUUUACAGAAAACUAAGAGGUCAGCCUCCUAUAGCAUGAGCUCUUACUUGUGGAAAUUAAACACAUGCAGAAAGGAAGUAGAAUUUCAAAAUGACGAUAUGUAUCUCACAGCUAAGAAAGCGAAGAAACCAUCAGAGUUUUUUUUGUGGAUUCCUAACAGAAGCUACAACCGCAACAAGUGCGCGAUAAAUUUGAUCCUGAAGAUUUAUUUACAUUCCUAAAUCUCAUUUCAUUGUUUAGGUUGCAAAUCUUUAGCAAGUGAACUGAUGUGACUCAAACUCCAUAUUCAAGGUGUCUGCCAAGUUACCUGUAUGCUUUCUCUUCAGGUAUGUGUUUAAUGUUACCUAAAUACUGAUAUAUAGAAAGAAUACUUACCGAACGUUUCAGUGAAUUUAUUCAUCAAUCUGUAUCUAGUUUGUUUGUAA